AGCGAAAACUCGGGGCGGGGGGGUGCUGUUAUUGGGUUGACCCCACAUCUCCACCUCCCCUCUCACCACCACCUCCACCACCACCUCGGCCCGAGCCAUCGACCCAAAUUGAAAUGGACUUUGGAGUUAUUCGUCAUACUGAAAGCUUCGUUGAUACUCGUCAAAGUGUCUUUCCCAUCAGACCCACCAGCCUCACAUGACUCCCGACAACUGCCGCAGAGAGUUGGAAUCACUCGGGGCCCCUUCAGAAAAACAGGAAGCCCUAAAGGAAGUAUCUGUCCUGUCUGAACCCUCUUGCACCAGUCAAGUGUCAGGUCAGGCUCUGAAGCUCCUGAGAUCAACAUGUCAUUGUUCCUGCCUGGUGUCACUGACAUGUCCUCAGUGACAUCAUCGCCAGCGGACGCUUGGCAUAUCGCUCACCUCUCUCUUCAGUGCUCAUCUGAAGUGGCAUUAGCCUCCACCUCUAAUCAGAGUACAUAAUAAAGUAGCCACAACAACCUCAUCAGUGGCUUUUAUGCCCUGGCAGGUGCAGCGCAGCAUUGUAAUUGUGUAGGCUGCUGCAACUUUGAUCACGUAUUUAUAUUUAAAGAGGUAGUAUGGCAACCCUGGAUGCAUGCGUGCAUGUACGUCUUCACAAUCCUGGUAAUGGAAACAUCGUCUGAAUGGGCCUUUUUUUUUCUUUCAAAAGAAGCAGUAGCACUUGUUGUAUUGCAUUUCAGAGCAAACGUGCUUCAAUUCAUGCCAUAGAAAACCACUUUGAGAUAACUUUAUCAGCAGAUAGAAAAUGUUAUCUGCUAUCCUGAUUAUGUCAUAUGUUUUCAGCUGAGCAGCAAUAAACAAAGAGGCUGUAAAAGAUCCUGGAGGACGUUUAUGGGGAAUAAUUCCCCUGCCCUCUCACACACACACACACAUAAUGCUGUAAUUGUGACACGCCUUUAAAGCAAAGACGCAAGAAUGAUCACAGGGAAUGCAUAUGUGCACAUGCCCACGCUCAAACUUGGAAAAGAAAGGGAGCAUUGCACCUAAGAAUGCACUGUUGCGCAAACACACCUUUGGCAAACAAAGAUAUACUUUUAAAAAAAAAGAAAAAAAAACACUUUAAACCCAGGGAGACAAACUCCUAAAUCUGAGGAUGUCCUUGUUAGUAAGCAGCCGAGGGUACAUGAGUGCUCUCAGCCGCAUCAUGAAAGCCUCAGCAAUUACUCCCAUGCUCCCUCGCUCUGGCAUAAAUCUGCUCUUAUCUCGGCUCGCUGCAGGAUCAGGGAAUAUCAGCUCCAGCAUCUGCUCCAUCUACAAACCCAGCCACUAAAAGCACAACAAAGUGGUUCUGCAGGCAUAA